CCUACGGGUGGCAGCAGUGAGGAAUAUUGGUCAAUGGACGAGAGUCUGAACCAGCCAAGUAGCGUGAAGGAUGACUGCCCUACGGGUUGUAAACUUCUUUUAUAUAGGAAUAAAGUGAUCCACGUGUGGGUUUUUGUAUGUACUUUAUGAAUAAGGAUCGGCUAACUCCGUGCCAGCAGCCGCGGUAAUACGGAGGAUCUGAGCGUUAUCCGGAUUUAUUGGGUUUAAAGGGAGCGUAGGUGGUUUGUUAAGUCAGUUGUGAAAGUUUGCGGCUCAACCGUAAAAUUGCAGUUGAUACUGGCAGUCUUGAGUACAGUUGAGGUAGGCGGAAUUCGUGGUGUAGCGGUGAAAUGCUUAGAUAUCACGAAGAACUCCGAUUGCGAAGGCAGCUUACUAGACUGCCACUGACAUUGAGGCUCGAAAGUGUGGGUAUCAAACAGGAUUAGAUACCCCUGUAGUC
rnacentral:rRNA from 1 species